rnacentral:ribozyme from 1 species
CCCUGUCUAGGGGUCACUACCUUGACGUGGUGACAGGGCUUGCGCCCCACAAUGAUCCUCGGAGCUAUACCGGCGGGAGCUUCGGCUCCUGGCAGGGAUACCCAUGCCGGGCUGGUCCGAGGGGAGUGGGCAGACUAAAAGUGAC